GGUGUGGUGGCUUAAUGGUUAGCAUAUUUGGCUCAUAUCUCUGGGGUUUUGGGAUCGAGUCCCAUCUCCACUC